UAGAAAUCCAUGCCCUAAAGAACUUAAUGUUUCAAUUGGGAAGGUCAAGUCAGAUAGGUUAAAAGGCAAACACAGUAGCACUGUAGACAUUACUAUAUAAGCUUUAUGGCAACUAGUGUUUGUGCAGUGCUUUACAGUUAGUAAACAGUGUUCACGUACCUUAUCUCACAGUGGCUUUGUGGGUUUGACAAAGUAGCAAUCCUCAUCUCAUAGGUGAGGAAACUAGGGCUCUUUAAGAUUAGAUAAUCUGUCUAAUAGCAUCCAGCCAGGUGGUCAUCUGACUCUAAAUCCUUUGAAGUCUUACUUAUGCUACAUGAAGGAAGGGGCUGUUAAGAUGUGGAUACAGCGAUACCAGUAAGAAGUAACUAAUUUCAGGCUGGGCACGGUGGCUCACUCCUGUAAUCCCAGCACUUUGGGAGGCUGAGGUGGGUGGAUCACUUGAGGUCCGGAGUUCAAGACCAGCCUGGCCAACAUGAUGAAACCCUAUCUCUAUUAAAAAUCCAAAAAGCCAGUUUUGGUGGCAGGUGCCUGUAAUUUCAGCUACUCAGGAGGCUGAGGCAGGAGAAUUGCUUGAACCUAGGAGGCAGAGGUUACAGUGAGCCGAGAUGUUGCCACUGUACUCCAGCCUGGGUGACAGAGUGAGACUCCAUCAAAAAGAAGAAGCUGGUUGCCAAGGAGAUGUCAGAUUGCAAAAAGCUGUUCUUUGUGUUACAACUCAGUAAGGAGCCAGCAUAACCAUAUAAAGAGGGAAGUUCAUUUAUUCAUUCUACAGUUGUUUACUGAGCUUCUGCUAGGUACCAGACAUUGG
rnacentral:lncRNA from 10 species